rnacentral:rRNA from 1 species
CAGUAGCCGCGGUAAUACGAAGGGUGCAAGCGUUACUCGGAAUUACUGGGCGUAAAGCGUGCGUAGGUGGUGGUUUAAGUCCGUUGUGAAAGCCCUGGGCUCAACCUGGGAAUUGCAGUGGAUACUGGAUCACUAGAGUGUGGUAGAGGAUAGUGGAAUUUCCGGUGUAGCAGUGAAAUGCGUAGAGAUCGGAAGGAACAUCUGUGGCGAAGGCGACUAUCUGGGCCAACACUGACACUGAGGCACGAAAGCGUGGGGAGCAAACAGGAUUAGAUACCCGCGUAGUCCCUGUCUCUUAUAA